UACGUAGGGUGCAAGCGUUGUCCGGAAUUAUUGGGCGUAAAGAGCUCGUAGGCGGUCUGUCGCGUCUGCUGUGAAAACUCAGGGCUUAACCCUGAGCUUGCAGUGGGUACGGGCAGACUAGAGUGCGGUAGGGGAGACUGGAAUUCCGUGGUGUAGCGGUGAAAUGCGCAGAUAGUCAGGAGGAACACCGGUGGCGAAGGCGGGUCUCUGGGCCGUAACUGACGCUGGAGGAGCGAAAGCAUGGGGGAGCGAACAG
rnacentral:rRNA from 1 species